GACAGCAGGUUUUGCUGUCUGCUUUUGGUGCAAGUAGGAGAAACUCUAGUUAGACUCUUGGAGGGUUUACUAGGAUAAAAGGUUAAAAGAACCUGCAAAUUUUUCAUUGGCUAUCUUCUUGGGUCCAAUAAACGUGUAUCAUCUCACUGCCUUCCAGGAGGCGUUUAGUUCCAUCAAGAGGAAACUUGCUGGAGGGUGAGAAGAUAUGGAAGGACAAGCUCAAACCUCACCAGCUGGCUGUCAACGCUCUGUAACACCUCUUCAUGUCUGCCCCUGUCAGGACCUGCACACCGGAGGGUCUGAGGCUGUCACUGCGGAGAUGCUUUCAACAAUUUCUUCUUUACAGACCAAAUUUCCUCAAGGAAUGGGACUCGAGGGGAGAUAAAAUGUUAAUGAUCACUGAGGAGAGAUGUCAUAAAAGUAACGAUCCUUGCUUUAGUGUGGAUUCAAGUGAUCGGUGUAAAACGAUUUUAAAGUUUUGCAGGAUUUUCUGCUCCUUUUUCUGUUUUUUAUGCAAACAUUAAGCUAAAUUACAGUUUGUGUAAAAUGACUUAAACACCCAUGUUUUUAA